GACGAACGCUGGCGGCGUGCCUAAUAUAUGCAAGUUGAGCGAUGAAGAUUGGUGCUUGCACCAAUUUGAAGAGCAGCGAACGGGUGAGUAACGCGUGGGGAAUCUGCCUUUGAGCGGGGGACAACAUUUGGAAACGAAUGCUAAUACCGCAUAACAACUUUAAACAUAAGUUUUAAGUUUGAAAGAUGCAAUUGCAUCACUCAAAGAUGAUCCCGCGUUGUAUUAGCUAGUUGGUGAGGUAAAGGCUCACCAAGGCGAUGAUACAUAGCCGACCUGAGAGGGUGAUCGGCCACAUUGGGACUGAGACACGGCCCAAACUCCUACGGGAGGCAGCAGUAGGGAAUCUUCGGCAAUGGACGAAAGUCUGACCGAGCAACGCCGCGAGAGUGAAGAAGGUUUUCGGAUCGUAAAACUCUGUUGGUAGAGAAGAACGUUGGUGAGAGUGGAAAGCUCAUCAAGUGACGGUAACUACCCAGAAAGGGACGGCUAACUACGUG
rnacentral:rRNA from 1 species